rnacentral:rRNA from 1 species
CCUACGGGAGGCAGCAGUGGGGAAUAUUGCACAAUGGGCGAAAGCCUGAUGCAGCGACGCCGCGUGAGGGAUGACGGCCUUCGGGUUGUAAACCUCUUUCAGCAGGGAAGAAGCGAAAGUGACGGUACCUGCAGAAGAAGCGCCGGCUAACUACGUGCCAGCAGCCGCGGUAAUACGUAGGGCGCAAGCGUUGUCCGGAAUUAUUGGGCGUAAAGAGCUCGUAGGCGGCUUGUCACGUCGGAUGUGAAAGCCCGAGGCUUAACCUCGGGUCUGCAUUCGAUACGGGCUAGCUAGAGUGUGGUAGGGGAGAUCGGAAUUCCUGGUGUAGCGGUGAAAUGCGCAGAUAUCAGGAGGAACACCGGUGGCGAAGGCGGAUCUCUGGGCCAUUACUGACGCUGAGGAGCGAAAGCGUGGGGAGCGAACAGGAUUAGAUACCCUGGUAGUCCACGCCGUAAACGUUGGGAACUAGGUGUUGGCGACAUUCCACGUCGUCGGUGCCGCAGCUAACGCAUUAAGUUCCCCGCCUGGGGAGUACGGCCGCAAGGCUAAAACGUCAAAGGAAUUGACGG